GGAAGGUUAUCGCGUGGUGGUGGUCGUUUUUAUGGUCGUACUUGUCGUGGUAGCAGUUAGUUGACUCUCAAAAGCGACCGAAAUGUGCAGUGCGUGUCAUAGAAAGAUUGGAGAUUAGUGGUGAUGGUGAAAAGGUGACGAAAGAAACAGAAAGGGCGAUGGAACUUUAGAAGGUAGACGAGGCUAUGGCGGCGAUGCUAGGCUACGGGGUCCUUCAAAGAGUCCUUAGGUGAUGGCAGGGAGUCCUUCGUGUGCGCCCUCUCCACCUCAAGGACCCAGCGUAAAGGAGUUCCAUCGUCCUCAUCUUCCAACGAUGUUGACGAACCUGCAUCUUCUCCAUCUCCGAGUCGUGAGGGAAGGAAGGACGCGGCGGCACAGACUGGCAGCGCACAGAAAGGUGUUCCCGAGCCUCCCCUUACCUGCCCUCACCUGCCUCGUUUUGCCUCACCCUCCUCUCCUCGUUCGCCCUCGGGUUCCUCGAGCGCUGCUGCCUCGGCCUCUUUGAACCCUCUGUGAUGAUGGUUGGAUCCAAGGCCCAGGCCGGGGCGGAGCCACACUCCGGGGAGGAUUGUUGACAUGACGGUGGGCAGAUAUAAAAUACUUAAGAGACUUGGACAUGCGCACGUAGCAGAGCUCGUACGUCCCCUGAUGGUGUCGUGAGGCCGCGGUGACGCCGAAUCCUGUUCCCUAUAAUGGCCGUGGUUGACGACGGUUCUUUCAGCGUCACAUUCCUGCAGGAGUCCACGGACCCACUCAUACGCCGCCUGCAGCAGCGACGUGACGUGUUCCCGACAUGGUGAGAUGCUGUUCUUGCCCUGUCCAAAGGGACUCGUGCUUUAUUGAUGUACGAGGCGUACGUGAAGUUCUUAUUUCUUGAAACAUUAAAGCAGGAGGACGGGUGGUACACCUUGGAGGACGCGGUGACCAGCUCCCAGAUUGGGUGGUACUUUCCAAAACACACGCCUUGGAAGAGCAAGUUUGACCACGGCAGCUGUCCUGGGUUGAUUCGGCACUGGCGCAAGGUAACCACUUGAAGAGAAAAGCAUGAAUAUCAUCUCACUGAAAAGUUUCAGUUUACUGAAUGUUAUUUGCAAAGGAAAACAAAUAUGCACGAGUUUACUGCACGAAUUUACUGGAUUCCACUUAAUGUUCGCAAAAGUAAUAACCUUAAUAUUUUUUUUAUGUAUUAAUGAAGGAAAUAAAAGAUUAUCUUAAAGUCAGAUGUAACGUAAUUUUGAGACCAUUCAGCAUUGUUCUUUAAAACAACUAAAUUUGAUAACACUGG